UCUCAGCCCUCUUUUCCCGUUAAUCUGAUGGGGAGAACAAUCCACAAGUGAGCAGUAGCAGCAGCCGGCAGACAGUGGGUGAUAUUCCCUGCUGGCAAUGGAUUCACCUCACUCAUCAGUUUACCAGCCAAAAGACUACAGCAGUGAUUAUGUUUGCUGGUACUGCUGCUGCAGCCUGGACAGAAACACCAGUUCUCACCUUAAAAACUAAACAGGUGUCACCACUUCACCCAUGAUUGCAGAGAGUUUUCAUACAAUGAGGAAGUUCUUUGAGACCAGGACGGAUGCCUCACAGAGGAUUCAAACUUGAACCAUUAAAUCACAGAGAGAAGAGACAGAUGUGAAGACAUUUCCAGAAGGUCGUCCUCUCCUCCUGCAGAGACAAGAAUGCGUUAAUCACACAAACUGAUGAGUAAAUUUAUUUUUUCUUUCCUUUUUCAUCUUUGAUAUGUAAUGACAAUGAUUUUACAACUCACUCAGUAUGUUUUACUUUUCCUUAUGCUUCUCUUCAGAAUAUAUUCUACUGAAAUUACUUCACUAAUGCUAAGUUUAUACAUUUUUUUACUUUUCAUGACAUCAUCAUUUGAUGUUUUUUGCUGCUUAAAACAAAGAAACUAUAUUAAAACAACUAUCUUACCAUUGUGGAUUACAUGAGAUUUUGCGUUUGUCAUUUCAGUAUAGUAUUUUCCUGUUUUGAACAGUUCAAUAUUAGUACUCAAAUCCAAUCAGUGUCAUUUGUAUCAUGCCUUUUGUAGUAUGCCUAUGGCACUAACAAAUCCUUACUCAAAUAAAUGCUUUU